rnacentral:rRNA from 1 species
CGGUGUUUAACUGGCGUGAUGUGGGACGUCCUACCGGUGGGCUUAGCCUCGCGAGGGGCGGCCCAACUAAUAUCCCGUCGCGGUGCUCUUUACUGAGUGUCGAGUCGGGCCGGUACGUUUACUUUGAACAAAUUAGAGUGCUUAAAGCAGGCUAUCCUCGCCUGAAUACUGCGUGCAUGGAAUAAUGGAAUAGGACCUCGGUUCUAUUUUGUUGGUUUUCGGAACCCCGAGGUAAUGAUUAAUAGGGACAGAUGGGGGCAUUCGUAUUGCGACGUUAGAGGUGAAAUUCUUGGAUCGUCGCAAGACGGACAGAAGCGAAAGCAUUUGCCAAAAAUGUUUUCAUUAAUCAAGAACGAAAGUUAGAGGUUCGAAGGCGAUCAGAUACCGCCCUAGUUCUAACCAUAAACGAUGCCAGCUAGCGAUCCGCCGAAGUUCCUCCGAUGACUCGGCGGGCAGCUUCCGGGAAACCAAAGCUUUUGGGUUCCGGGGGAAGUAUGGUUGCAAGGCUGAAACUUAAAGGAAUUGACGGAAGGGCACCACCAGGAGUGGAGCCUGCGGCUUAAUUUGACUCAACACGGGAAACCUCACCAGGCCCAGACACCGGAAGGAUUGACAGAUUGAUAGCUCUUUCUUGAUUCGGUGGGUGGUGGUGCAUGGCCGUUCUUAGUUGGUGGAGCGAUUUGUCUGGUUAAUUCCGAUAACGAACGAGACUCUAGCCUGCUAAAUAGGCGUACCUUAUGGUAUCGCGAAGGCCCCCGGCUUCGGCCGGUGGGUUUUUACUACCAACGUACAAACAAAUCUUCUUAGAGGGACAGGCGG